GCAUGAUUUUGAUCACGAACAACAACCCCAACAUUUUGGCCAGCAAAAUUUGGUUCCUGCUGCUCAUCGUGAAAUUGAAUCCCUCCUUUUCACUCAUGGUGCUGCGUUUAGUGAAUUUGAAUGGGAGGCUGGCUUGCUACUUAUGUUGCGACAAAGAUAUUUCCUGACCUACGAGGCCCUGCUCUUUGUUUCUCAGUCCAUCCAUGAGCAUUAUUCAAGAAAUAUGGCCAUCGUUCAGGAAAAAUUUGCUGCCCUAUUUAUAUCUACUGAAGGAACUGGUAGUACCGAGUUUAAAGCAGCUUUCCUGUAAAUCAUUUUUGU